rnacentral:lncRNA from 1 species
AAACUGUUCCGCAGUGGAACGAACUGCAAGGUCCACCUUCCAUUUAUGUGGUUGGCCUUUAGUUUGGAGGCAAACAUGCCUCAGGCUUUGCCCACUCAGCCUGCGCUGGGCAUCACAUCUCUCAAGUGGGUCAGCAAAGCGUUGGCCUGCCUGAGUAGCUAGCUGUUCUGGUCUGGCAGCCAUGUCAGUCAGACCAUCCAUCACAUUCUCUGGAACGCUACAUGCUCAUCUUGAGACUACCUACUACAUUGCAGUGUGGGGCAUGAAACUUGGCCAUGUGCGAUGAACACUGUUACCCUUGCUUCAAGACCUCUUCAAAG